UACAGAGGUCUCAAGCGUUGUUCGGAAUCACUGGGCGUAAAGGGUGCGUAGGUGGCGUGGAAAGUCAGAUGUGAAAUCCGGAGGCUCAACCUCCGAAUUGCAUCCGAUACUCCCAUGCUAGAGAACUGGAGGGGAGUCUGGAAUUCUCGGUGUAGCAGUGAAAUGCGUAGAUAUCGUAAGGAAGACCAGUGGCGAAGGCGGGUCUCUGGACAGUUCCUGACGCUGAGGCACGAAGGCCAGGGGAGCAAACGGG
rnacentral:rRNA from 1 species